UAUCGAUUACUAAUUGGAGUCUGACUGGGUGCUUCAAUUGAGGUGCGGCGAAAAUCCAGCACAGAUUCAAGGGGCGAGUUGCGUCCGCGUGGUAGGUCCGCCUUCCACGUGGGGCGUGGGUCCUACGCAGCGGCCUGGAAACCCUAGGAUGCCGUGCCAUAAAGGAGCAGGUAGUGCGUCCCUCUUUAUAGGGGCGUGGCCCUGUAUUCACAGCCGGCAAACGCUGCUACUUCCUAUCAGACCGCAUGAACCCGUAAGGGGGAUGGACUUAGGGGGGCACGCAUAUAGGUUAGGGUGCUUUCCUGGUCCUUCGGGGCUGGGCGGGCGGACCGGACAGUCGAUAACUGUGUCUGGCCCUCCGGGGCCUACCUUUUAUCCAGCAAUGGGCCUGACGAUACUGAAAGCGUGUUGGGGCUGGUAUCCUGGGACCUUCUCGUGGUGGCCCUGUUUAAACAGACCUUACCAGGAUGGUUGAUCUGCUCAGUGAACAUGACUCAUAAGCCGCUUCAAAUUUGCCUGCCAUCUGUCCUUGCAUCUCACUCUUCUCAUCACUUACAGUGUGCAUAAAUUUCUUCUGAAAAAUGGAACUUUCCGAUUUUAAAAUCAAAUUCGUCAAAUUUCCUGGGUUUUGGGUGUCCAAAUUCAGCAAAUUAUUGCAAACUCUUUCUUUAGUAUUCUGAUUCAUGUUCACUGGCUGGGUCACAGUGCAAAGGGUGGAAUUCCAGUCACAAAUUGGACAUUUAUACUGACCGCAUAUCAUGCUCCAAGCUGUCAACUGAAAGUGCAUUCUUUGUGGGUUUUAAAUUUUGGAAGCUAAAAAUUGAGUAUUCUUGGUCAGUUGUCUUUGAUGCGUUUGUGUCUGAAAAAUUUUGCCCUUUGCAUUAUUUGUAUGUUUAUUUUUAAAACUAUGCGUACAAGUUGGAGAAAGUGAUGUGUAUGCAUCUACUAAAACUCACGUACACUGAAAUAAUCUUAUCUUUUGGCAAGAGUUAGUCGACAAAUCAGCGACAGAAAAUAAUGUCAUGAUCAAUUUAGCAAUCUACAUUGUAUUUGGUUCCAAUUUGAAAAGUUGGAUGAUUAAUUUGCAGAUUUUCUUAUUAAAACUGCUUACAUGCUGCAGUCCAUGUUGCUUAUUAAUCCGACCAAAACUUCCUAAAGAAAACCAAAGGACCAACUUCGAUCCAGCAAAUUUAUAAAGUGUUGGUUUCCAGAAAGGACAAAGAAAUCAAGCUUAAAAAAAUUAUUGAAUUUUGGAACAUUUAUAGUAAAAGCACAAAAGCCAUAUUUCAACAGGAUUUUGGUGCAAAAAUAAUUUGGUUGAGUGCAACUCUGAAUAGCUAGUAUUUCAAAAAGUGUAGUUUUUGUUUAUUUGUUUUUCCCUUAUUUUCUUUGGUUCAUGCUUUUGAUUAUUCAGGUCACCCUUGCUGCACAGGAGACUGGAAGAAACUAGACACGGCUGCUGACAACUCUACAGUUACAACGUAGCAAGCUGAUGAAUUUGCACUUUGGGAACGUGGUGCACGCCAACAGGUCGCUAUUGAAAUCAUGCUACAAUUAAUUAUGAGGAAAUCUUGUAACAUCUCGCGAUGAAAAUUUAAUCAGAAAAUACCGUCAAACCAAACUGUGCAUUUAAUUAUUUGUUUCAAAUAAAACAGGUUAGACCCUUGAUUUUUAAUUGAAUUUUGAAUGCAAAAGAAAAUCGAAGAAUCUGCUCUAUCACUGAAUCAUUUAGAAUCUUACUUACUCUGUCAUUAAUUUAAACAGCUUAAAACUUCCUUCAAACUUUUGAGUAAUAUAUAAUAAUGCUUUAAGUUUUGCUAAAAAAUUUAGGGCUAGUAUUUGUUGAAAGUUGAUUUAGUACGAGAGUUGGUUGAGUAAAACCUGACAAUUUUGAUAAAAGUGCAAGGUUAACCCCUUAUUAUUUUUAAGCUAUCGGUCAAAACUUUGAACAGUAGUUUUUGUCCGUGAACCAUAUUUAAACAAGUGCAUGCUUAAUUAACGGAACUGUUUUUUCUCUUGAUUGUGGCAUAAAUGUUGCCAAGAUGGUUUUUUUUAUUGGUGUUUUCAUUCACAACAAUUUGCCUUUGCCUUGAAGUAAUAAACAUUUUACCCAAACUAAUUUUCAUGUGAGCACAUUAGCUAUUAUUAUUUAAUCAAAUAGUUGUUGUAAAUUUGUCCUUUGAUUUAAAAUUUAGUUUAAAAGUUUGUCACUGACUUUGCGUAAUUUAAAACUUUGAUUUUUGACCGUACGAGCUUGUGUAUUUCAAGAAAAUAAAAUAUGUUUUGUAUUUCUCUUUAAAGAUACUUUUUUACAUCAAGUUGUGAAUCUUGUAUAAACGGAAGUCAAAAUUAUCUGAAUAAAACUCUAUAUUAUCAAUAUAAAAUACAUUGCAAAGUUUAACUCUCAUUUUAUUUGUGUCUUUGAUUUGGGGAAUUGGGUUUUUAAGGGGGAAAAUAUUUUGAUUUAAACUGUUUCCUUUACACUUAAAAAAGAAGGUAAAAAUUUGGGAUGUUAACUUGUUUAAGAUUGUGAUUAUUUAAAACUUUGAUUUUUGACCGUACGAGCUUGUGUAUUUCAAGAAAAUAAAAUAUGUUUUGUAUUUCUCUUUUAAAGAUACUUUUUUACAUCAAGUUGUGAAUCUUGUAUAAACGGAAGUCAAAAAUUAUCUGAAUAAAACUCUAUAUUAUCAAUAUAAAAUA